AUUGAACGCUGGCGGCAGGCCUAACACAUGCAAGUCGAGCGGUAACAGAGAGGUGCUUGCACCUUUGCUGACGAGCGGCGGACGGGUGAGUAAUGCUUGGGAACAUGCCUUAUGGGUGGGGGACAACAGUUGGAAACGACUGCUAAUACCGCAUACGACCUACGGGUGAAAGGGGGCCUCUUCUUGAAAGCUCUCGCGACUAGAUGAGCCCAAGUGGGAUUAGCUUGUUGGUGAGGUAAGAGCUCACCAAGGCGACGAUCCCUAGCUGGUCUGAGAGGAUGAUCAGCCACACUGGAGCUGAGACACGGUCCAG
rnacentral:rRNA from 1 species